rnacentral:rRNA from 1 species
AGAGUUUGAUCAUGGCUCAGGAUGAACGCUGGCGGCGUGCCUAAUACAUGCAAGUCGAGCGAACGGACGAGAAGCUUGCUUCUCUGAUGUUAGCGGCGGACGGGUGAGUAACACGUGGAUAACCUACCUAUAAGACUGGGAUAACUUCGGGAAACCGGAGCUAAUACCGGAUAAUAUUUUGAACCGCAUGGUUCAAAAGUGAAAGACGGUCUUGCUGUCACUUAUAGAUGGAUCCGCGCUGCAUUAGCUAGUUGGUAAGGUAACGGCUUACCAAGGCAACGAUGCAUAGCCGACCUGAGAGGGUGAUCGGCCACACUGGAACUGAGACACGGUCCAGACUCCUACGGGAGGCAGCAGUAGGGAAUCUUCCGCAAUGGGCGAAAGCCUGACGGAGCAACGCCGCGUGAGUGAUGAAGGUCUUCGGAUCGUAAAACUCUGUUAUUAGGGAAGAACAUAUGUGUAAGUAACUGUGCACAUCUUGACGGUACCUAAUCAGAAAGCCACGGCUAACUACGUGCCAGCAGCCGCGGUAAUACGUAGGUGGCAAGCGUUAUCCGGAAUUAUUGGGCGUAAAGCGCGCGUAGGCGGUUUUUUAAGUCUGAUGUGAAAGCCCACGGCUCAACCGUGGAGGGUCAUUGGAAACUGGAAAACUUGAGUGCAGAAGAGGAAAGUGGAAUUCCAUGUGUAGCGGUGAAAUGCGCAGAGAUAUGGAGGAACACCAGUGGCGAAGGCGACUUUCUGGUCUGUAACUGACGCUGAUGUGCGAAAGCGUGGGGAUCAAACAGGAUUAGAUACCCUGGUAGUCCACGCCGUAAACGAUGAGUGCUAAGUGUUAGGGGGUUUCCGCCCCUUAGUGCUGCAGCUAACGCAUUAAGCACUCCGCCCUGGGGAG